UUCCUCUGCGUGGACAUUUUUUUCCAGGGUUGGGAAAGGGUGAACUUUAACAUCAUCCAAAGUAGAUAUACACCCCUUUCUUUCCAUUAUCUGAAUUGCUACCUUUCGUGCCACAAAAUCCAUAUUUUGUUAAAGACAGUUUUGUUACCAGAGUAAACAAUAUCAACCGGAAGUACCCCUGCUGAACAUUUUGUUCAUGUCACGUGAUCGGCGUGGCUAAAUGCGAAAAAUCCCGGGUGUUCCGGAUGAACUCAAAACGUGCCUAUUGAUGAGCCGUCUACAGUCAGUGUAAAACUUGGAAUGAAAUAAACCUACCAAGAACUGCAAUCUCUUUGAAAGAGUCCCCCUGUUCCCAUCGGGCCUACCUUCAAUAACUAUGUGACACAGACGUAUCAGUUCUUAUAGGAAGGGAUUACUCAAAUACAUAUUGACUGCUGUGAAGUUUUGCAUUUUCAAAACAGACUGAAAGUGAAACAGUGAUGUUUAAUGAAACCUCAAUUUUCUCUAUAUUCACUUGUACAUAGUAUGCUAUAUAAUUAUCAUUCAGUCUGUAAAAAUGGAAGAGGUGAUUGACAAUUUUCGCUGCAAGGAUGCAACAAUCAACCUUGUUCACUCAGGCAAUUUUGGAUACUCAUUUUUGUGGCCACAAAAUUUUCUACAUGAUAAAACAAUAUAGACAAUAAAUCACAAUAUACUAGGAAAGA